GAUGAACGCUGGCGGCGUGCCUAAUACAUGCAAGUCGAGUGAACAGACGAAGAGCUUGCCCCUCUGACGUUAGCGGCGGGCGGGUGAGUAACAUGUGGAUAACACACCUUUAAGAAUGGGAUAACCUCGGGAAACCGGUACUAAUAACGGCUAAAAUAUUCAACCGCAUGGUUCAAUAGUUAAAGACGGCUUUGCUGUCGAUUAUACAAGGAUCCGCGCGGCAUUAGCUAGUUGGUCGGGUAACGGCUUACCAAGGCAACGAUGCGUAGCCGACCUGAGAGGGUGAUCGGCCACACUGGAACUGAGACACGGUCCAGACUCCUACGGGAGGCAGCAGUGGGGAAUCUUGCACAAUGGGCGAAAGCCUGACGGAGCAAUGCCGCGUGUAUGAUGAAGGUCUUCGGAUUGUAAAGCACUGUUAGUAGGGAAGAACAAAUGUGUAAGAAUAUAUGCACGUAUUGACGGUACCUGAUCAGAAAGCCACGGCUAACUACGUG
rnacentral:rRNA from 1 species